AAAUCUGGCGCUAGAUUACCUGCAUUUCAGGAUAAUCCAAAAUCCUUACUGGUUUUUUUAGCAGGGAUUAUUUCACACCUGAAACACGA